rnacentral:rRNA from 1 species
CCUGGAUCCAGCCAUUCCGCGUGAGUGANGAAGGCCUUCGGGUUGUAAAGCUCUUUCAGCCGGAAAGAAACGGUACGCUCUAACAUAGCGUGCUAAUGACGGUACCGGCAGAAGAAGCACCGGCUAACUACGUGCCAGCAGCCGCGGUAAUACGUAGGGUGCGAGCGUUAAUCGGAAUUACUGGGCGUAAAGCGUGCGCAGGCGGAUUAUUAAGCAAGACGUGAAAGCCCCGGGCUUAACCUGGGAAUGGCGUUUUGAACUGGUAGUCUAGAGUGUGUCAGAGGGGGGUGGAAUUCCACGUGUAGCAGUGAAAUGCGUAGAUAUGUGGAGGAACACCAAUGGCGAAGGCAGCCCCCUGGGAUAACACUGACGCUCAUGUACGAAAGCGUGGGUAGCAAACAGGAUUAGAUACCCUGGUAGUCCACGCCCUAAACGAUGUCAACUGGUUGUUGGGGGAGUGAAAUCCCUUAGUAACGAAGCUAACGCGUGAAGUUGACCGCCUGGGGAGUACGGUCGCAAGAUUAAAACU